rnacentral:lncRNA from 1 species
AGCACAAAAUGCAGGCAUCCCUCAAAAGAAACACAUCCAAAUGGUUUUGCAAGUACCAUUAGCUAACGUGGUUGAGUGUCUUUAUGUGUAGAAUUACGUAAGGAGUAUGGAAGGCAGGUCAAGACCAAAGUGAAAUGGUGCGCCUGCUUUCUUGGGGUCCACUUGCCAUGGAAGACACGUUCACUCAUUCGUUCAUCCCACAAAUACUGAAAUCUCACCAUGAGCUGGCUCUGCACUAGAUGUGGGGACAUGACCCUAAAAGGGAGGGAGGCAUAGCAAACUAGUAUAGUGAAAGGGAUAAUCUGUAUUGGUUUGAAAGGGAUAAACUCUCUAAAUAAUGCCUGUGAGGUCUUAGGAGGCUGGAGUGAUGAAACUGGAUUGCAUUUUUCCAGGAAGAAGACCUCCUUGAGAAGAAAACGGAACAUGGCCCUAACAGUGGGCAGCAUGAAACUGAGGAACACAGCAGGAAGCUGAUUUAGGCAAACUCAGCAGGAACUGGCCAGAGGCUGGUAGGAGGAUUAUUAUGGGCAGGCUGGCUUUCCUCAACUCUUAAUAACACCACCACUCCACACAGAAAAGAACUUCUCUUAUGACUGCCCUCUUUUCCUCAUAAAUCCCUCAAUGAGUUUUCUGAGAAUGGGCCCAAUGGGCUGGCUGUUCUGGAAGGACUUUAAUCAGCUUUCUUCAUGAUGGACUGGAGGGAAAGGAAGUGUUCCCUGUGAACCCAUGAGACUUCAUCCCUGCGUUGGUCUGGCUGGCUUUCCCUGUGAGAUACAGGUUCCUCCUGAAGAGCUGAAGCUCCAUUCCAGCUCUAGACUUCUCCUUGCUUUCAGACUUCAAGAUGAGAAGCAUUUUUCCAGUCCACAAGUGUUAGAGGACACUGCCGAUGAUGUGUGUUUUGCCCAGGCUGGACUCAGCUUCUUUGUCUCGUUUUGAAAGAAGAGUCAUGCUUCAAUUAAUAACAGACAACGGAGUCAAUAUGAAGGGAGCAGAGACAAUGAUGUGAUCAAAUGCCAAGAAAUGACUGACAGCAGAAAAAAUAUCAUGACCACUGUGGGAGGAGGUACUUUCUCUUUGUCAGAAGAACAGAAGCAAAUGGUCUGCUUAUAGCCUUUUAUGUGACGAUGUGCCCUUUCUGCCACUGCAAGGGAAAGAGUCAUCUUUGCUCCUCCAUUUUGGUUUAUCCUAAGAAAGACCAACACUAUGUCUAGCCCAGAGAGAGAAACACAUAAAAUAAAUACAAGUUAAAUCUUCAAUGGGACAUCAAGUUCCAUGUACAAGGCUAACCUAGACUAUAAAGUC